ACCCGCUGAACUUAAGCAUAUCAAUAAGCGGAGGAAAAGAAACCAACAGGGAUUGCCCCAGUAACGGCGAGUGAAGCGGCAACAGCUCAAAUUUGAAAUCUGGCCCCCCCGCGGGCCCGAGUUGUAAUUUGCAGAGGAUGCUUUUGGCGCGGCGCCUUCCGAGUGCCCUGGAACGGGACGCCAUAGAGGGUGAGAGCCCCGUCUGGUCGGACGCCCAGCCUCUGUAAAGCUCCUUCGACGAGUCGAGUAGUUUGGGAAUGCUGCUCUAAACGGGAGGUAUAUGUCUUCUAAAGCUAAAUACUGGCCAGAGACCGAUAGCGCACAAGUAGAGUGAUCGAAAGAUGAAAAGCACUUUGAAAAGAGGGUUAAACAGUACGUGAAAUUGUUGAAAGGGAAGCGCUUGUGACCAGACUCGGGCGCGGCGAAUCACCCGGCGUUCUCGCCGGUGCACUUCGACGCGCCCGGGCCAGCAUCAGCUCGCCGCGGGGGACAAAGGCGCCGGGAACGUGGCUCCCCAGGGAGUGUUAUAGCCCGGCGCGCAACGCCCCGCGGCGGACUGAGGUUCGCGCGUCCGCAAGGAUGCUGGCGUAAUGGUCACCAGUGACCCGUCUUGAAACACGGACCAAGGAGUCGUCCUCGUAUGCGAGUGUUCGGGUGUCAAACCCCUACGCGCAAUGAAAGUGAACGCGGGUGAGAGCCUCGCGGCGCAUCAUCGACCGAUCCUGAUGUUCUCGGAUGGAUUUGAGUAGGAGCAUACGGGGCCGGACCCGAAAGAAGGUGAACUAUGCCUGUGUAGGGUGAAGCCAGAGGAAACUCUGGUGGAGGCUCGCAGCGGUUCUGACGUGCAAAUCGAUCGUCAAACAUGGGCAUGGGGGCGAAAGACUAAUCGAACCUUCUAGUAGCUGGUUUCCGCCGAAGUUUCCCUCAGGAUAGCAGUGUCGAUCUCAGUUUUAUGAGGUAAAGCGAAUGAUUAGGGACCCGGGGGCGCUCUUCAGCCUUCAUCCAUUCUCAAACUUUAAAUAUGUAAGAAGCCCUUGUUGCUUGGUUGAACGUGGGCAUUCGAAUGUAUCGACACUAGUGGGCCAUUUUUGGUAAGCAGAACUGGCGAUGCGGGAUGAACCGAACGCGAGGUUAAGGUGCCGGAGUGGACGCUCAUCAGACACCACAAAAGGCGUUAGUACAUCUUGACAGCAGGACGGUGGCCAUGGAAGUCGGAACCCGCCAAGGACUGUGUAACAACUCACCUGCCGAAUGUACUAGCCCUGAAAAUGGAUGGCGCUCAAGCGUCCCACCCAUACCUCGCCCUCAGGGUAGAAACGAUGCCCUGAGGAGUAGGCGGACGUGGGGGUCCGUGACGAAGCCCAGGGCGCGAGCCCGGGUCGAACGGCCCCUAGUGCAGAUCUUGGUGGUAGUAGCAAAUACUUCAAUGAGAACUUGAAGGACCGAAGUGGGGAAAGGUUCCAUGUGAACAGCGGUUGGACAUGGGUCAGUCGAUCCUAAGCCAUAGGGAAGUUCCGUUUCAAAGGCGCACUCGCGCGCCGUCUGGCGAAAGGGGAGCCGGUCAAUAUUCCGGCACCUGGAUGUGGGUUUUGCGCGGCAACGCAACCGAACGCGGAGACGACGGCGGGGGCCCCGGGCAGAGUUCUCUUUUCUUCUUAACGGUCUCUCACCCUGAAAUCGGUUUGUCCGGAGAUAGGGUUUAACGGCCGGAAGAGCCCAGCACCUCUGCUGGGUCCGGUGCGCCCCCGACGUCCCUUGAAAAUCCGCGGGAGGGAAUAAUUCUCACGCCAGGUCGUACUCAUAACCGCAGCAGGUCUCCAAGGUGAACAGCCUCUGGUUGAUAGAACAAUGUAGAUAAGGGAAGUCGGCAAAAUAGAUCCGUAACUUCGGGAUAAGGAUUGGCUCUAAGGGUCGGGCACGCUGGGCCUCGGACGGACGCCUUGGGAGCAGGCCGCCACUAGCCGGGCGACCGGCCGGCGGCGGCCAGCAUCCGAGCGCUGACGUGCCUGGCAGGCCUCGGCCGUCCGGCGUGCGGUUAACGACCAACUUAGAACUGGUACGGACAGGGGGAAUCUGACUGUCUAAUUAAAACAUAGCAUUGCGAUGGCCAGAAAGUGGUGUUGACGCAAUGUGAUUUCUGCCCAGUGCUCU
rnacentral:rRNA from 1 species